CCUGCGGGGAUGCCCAACCACCAGCUCAUCUCUGGCGCCCCGAGAGCUGACCUGAGCUGGGUGAGCCGGCGAGGCACCUUCUUGGGUGCAGAAUGUAUGGGAGCGCCCAAACUCCAGUAAUCCAGCAAUCACUUCGCCCUCCUUUCUGCAGUGAACCCACUCCCGAGAAGACCAAGGAGAGCCUGGCGGGCAGAUUUCUCCAGCAGCCGCUGCCCGAGGGAAGUGGCAGGGGGUCUGGAGGCAGCUGAUCGCGGACAAAAGACCCUGGUCCAGCCCUGAGGCUAGGCCUUCGGGAACCAGGACAAGGCAAACUCCUCUUCCCUGGUGGCCACCCCGGAGGGUCCACAAGGCUCCCCUUUCCACUGUUCCCAAGCGCCUCGGGUUCAGUCCGACGGGUCACUUUUCUUGUAUAUUUUCUCUUGCUUCCCCUCCUUCAUGGCUGCGUACCUGGCUAGCGUGAAGAGAUAGUCGCUGAGUCUGGAGGGACAGAGAGAAGCAGACGGAAUGAUCUGAAAGGGGCAAUCGAUGCUAACUGGGUCCUUCCCAUAUUAGCCUUCAAGAAGGAAAUCAGUCACGUGCCCCGGCAGCACCGGGUGGGACGAAGAGCAGCGGCCAACCUGGGCCUGACAGAUGGCACUGGGAGCCAGCAUCCGUGAGAGCCACGUGCCCGACUCUGGCGCCAGGGCUGGAGGGUUUCUAGGGGACAAGGCCGCUACCCCUGCCCAACCUCAGAGGCUGGUGACCUUGGGCCAGUCUCAACUGCUUUCUGCACCGUCCACUGACCAGGACUAGUACCUCUCAAACUAACAUGCACACGAGUCCUUAGGGAUCCUGACAACCUGCAGAUUCUCAUUUGGGGGAGCUGGCCAGGCCUGCGGUUCUGCAGUUCUAACCCACGCCACGUGACGCAGACACUGCUGGGCUGAGGACCUGCACAAAGUCAAGAACCCACACUUUCCAGGCCGUGCCAGGGCCGACCCCCCUCAUUCCUGGUUCCUUUCCAGUGCAAGAGCGCCCCCAAGGAGUCUCAGCUGUGCCCAUGAAUACAACAUUCCUUUCCCCUCAUAGGAGGAAACGAGUUGGUCAGAACCCAUCAAAGCCUGGGCCAUGUUCCUGUGGGAGGGGUGGGCCACAAUAAGGGGCCACUCCAGAUCCUGGCUAAGGCCAUUUUCUGGACACUCAGAACGGCUCCCAGGGGUCCCCAGCGCUUGGCCUGCCCCUGGGCCUGGCCUUGCCCCCACUAGAACUGCACGAGCCAAUGCUGAAGGAGAACCCAGUGGAGAAGGCCUUGGGCCAGCUGUGGCCCUGGGGGCGAGGCUGAGGGCGGGGCUACAGGGGACCUCCCUGGCCCAGCCAGCGAUUCGGGCCCUGUGCGGGGGCCCUAAGCCGGACGGUCCUGAGCUCGCUUUGCCUGGAGGUGUCCUCCGCUCACACUGCCCAGGGGCCUCACCAGGGGAAGACCGGCUGUGAGAAGGUCUCUAUCCUGCCUGGGCCCCACCAUGACGCCUGUCACCGUCUCCCUGGUUACCAGCCUCAAAGCAGGCCCCUUGUCACAGCACUGUCCAUUCGUUCCGAUGUUCUUCGCUGGUCGUUAUAGCAGCUUCUCCCACAAGACCUUCACCUCACUGGUGACAGGGUUGGUACCGCCUUGCUCUCUGCUGCAUCCCGUGCCCGGCUCAGUGCUGGGCACAGACGCCCUCACUGAAUGUGAAGUGAAUGAGUGAGGCCCGUUCCGUUGUUGCUACUUCCCAUCAUGUCGCGUUUGUCAGAGAUCUCCAGUUUCCAUGUAAGUACCUGUUUAAGAACUUGGCCACGUUUGCAUCCGUCUCACCCAUCCGGACAAGAGGCGCCACGCUGGAAAGGGAGGAGUCACUGCGUCACACGGGAUCAACGUCACAGGAUCAGCCACUGCAGGGCCCAGGGCUCCGUCCCCGCCAGCAGUCACGGCCACCGCAGCGUGACCUGGGGUCCUUGCCGGUCUACGUGGACAUUCUAGACAGUGGGCCGCUGUCUGCUGACCACCAACGACGGGCAGACCAGGAGGUCUGCUGUGGUGGCUGGACGACACGGAGGUGACCCCCCCGCCUGCCUCCGGCCCCCUCUGCCCGGGCCCUCACCGUCUCUCAGCCCGGCGGCACACGGCCCGACAGAAGUGCAGUGCAGCGCUGCUCUUGCCGCCCGACUGGAAGGAGAAAGCAGGCGUUGGGUGGAGGGAGGGGCGGGCGGGUGUGCCCAGUGCAGACAGCACGCUCCUCACACGGAGGGUGGGCCCUGCCCCAGCACGCAGUGUUCUGCAUGCAGAGGGCCCCGCCGGGGCACAGCCCUGGGCACCCCUUCAGAGAGGACAGGGCUGGGAGGGCAGGGGACGUGGAGGGCAGCUCUGUCACUGUAAAAUAUUAGAGAGGGGGACGUGGCCUGCAGCCACCCCAGGGGGAGGCUGCCCAGUACCUACAGGCAGAAUGAAAGCCGUGAGAGGGGGGAGCUGGCCGGAGUACUUGUCGAUCCACUGCUCCAGCUCCAGGACGCGCCCCGACUCAAAUGUGGUGCGUCCUGAGGAGCCAAGGAGUAGGACACGGCCAUGAGGAAACCGCGAGCAUCGAGGAAACCGCCCGGUGCCCUUCCGCCCGGUGCGUUCCAAACCACUCCCACGACCCUCUCAGGGUCUGCGGGCCAGGCUGACGGGGUCCCACGUGACACCCAGGAGAGUCCCCGCUCAGUCCAACCCCCGCAGGGCCCUCCCAGUACACACGCGGCUCAGAGAGCGAAUUACUUAAGUGAGCCUCCCGGGCGGAGGAGCGGGGUGUCGCCAGGGCGGAGCCAACGUCCUGCAGGGAGCACUGUAUCUGGGGAAGCAACAGAAGGUGCCAGUGAAGAUCUAUUGUGGCUCCUGGCUCCCCAUGCAAAGGUGCCACCUGACAGCAAGGCAUGCGGCUGGCCUGGUGGGGGUUGUCAGAGCUUUAAUCAGCAGCACUGAAAGGCUAAUUAGCAAACUGCCUGCACUUUCAGCGUGCUGGACGCCAGCCCCGUGGAGAGGAGACCUGGCUCACGUGGGGACAGCUGGGUUAGGAAGACAAUGAGCGUCGAGCGCCCAGUGACGGCCAAGAGGAAUCUCCUCGCCCCGAUCCUGGGUGGUUUAUCUCGGAGGCUGUCAUGUGCACUGCAGGCUGCAUGCGGCAUCCCAGGCCUCCACCCACUAGAUGCCAGGACCUCCGCCUCCAGUUGGGACAACCAACCAUGUCUCCAGACAUUGUCAAAUGUCCCCUGGGGGGCAGAGAGCACGGACAACCCUUCACAUUUCCUUCUCUUGGACCAAUCCUCACCACUUGCCUGGGAGGGAGGAUUAUCUGGGUGUCCCCAUUUUACAGAUGGAGAAACUGAGGCUCAGAGGAAGAGUGACAGUCCCAGGUGACACAGAGAGGAAGCGAUGAUCAAAUGCCAAAUGCAGUUACAGUCACCAGGCCUCAGGGGUAAACAAAAAAUGUUACUCACUUUCUCAAGCUCCUCAGCAAAUGGGUGGCCCUUUUCCGAAAUUAAUUCCAUAGCAAACCUAUGAGGGAAAAGGAAAAAGAAUCUGCCUCUAACAUAACAUCCCCAGGCCCUGCUUUGCUGUAAGACCAUGGUUCUCAGGUGACGGGCCAUUCAGCUAACUUGGCUAUAAUAGCCUUGGUGUUAUUUCUUGCUGGCAAUAAGAACCUCAUAACCUUCCA